rnacentral:rRNA from 1 species
UCACUGCUAUUGGGAUUCGACUAAGCCAUGCGAGUUGAGAGGGUUCGGCCCUCAGCAGACUGCUCAGUAACACGUGGAUAAUCUACCCUUAGGUGGAGGAUAAUCUCGGGAAACUGAGGAUAAUACUCCAUAGAUCUAGGAGGCUGGAAUGCAUCUAGGUUAAAAGCUCCGGCGCCUAAGGAUGAAUCUGCGGACUAUCAGGUUGUAGUCAGGGUAAUGACCUGACUAGCCUAUGACGGAUACGGGUUGUGAGAGCAAUAACCCGGAGACGAUAUCUGAGACACGAUAUCGGGCCCUACGGGGCGCAGCAGGCGCGAAAACUUCACAAUGUGCGAAAGCACGAUGAGGGAAUCCCAAGUGCCAGCUCGUAAGAGUUGGCUGUUUCUUUGUCUAAAAAACAUAGAGAGUAAGAGCUGGGUAAGACGGGUGCCAGCCGCCGCGGUAAUACCUGCAGCUCAAGUGGUGAUCGUUAUUAUUGGGCCUAAAACGUUCGUAGCCUGUUUAGUAAAUGCCUGGGUAAAUCGUGUAGCUUAACUAUACGAAUUCCGGGUAGACUGUUAAACUUGAGACUGGGAGAAGUUAGAGGUACUCCUGGGGUAGAGGUGAAAUUCUGUAAUCCUAGGGGGACCACCAGUGGCGAAGGCGUCUGACUAGAACGAGUCUGACGGUGAGGGACGAAGCCCUGGGUCGCAAACCGGAUUAGAUACCCGGGUAGUCCUGGCCGUAAACGAUGCAUACUAGGUGAUGGCAUGGUCAUGAGCCGUGUCAGUGCCGUAGGGAAACCGUUAAGUAUGCCGCCUGGGAAGUACGGUCGCAAGGCUAAAAC